ensembl:lncRNA
CUCUUAUCAAACAUGUGAAGUUUGGGCAAGAUCGGACAUUUUAUGCCUGAGUUACAAUAACUUUUAUUCCCAUGGCGAGACAUCGAACUUUGUGACGGCGCCAUGGACACGCCCUUUAACGAAAACUCAAGAUCUUCACAAUUUAACAUCGCACAGGCCUUUAGAAUAGAGUGACUGAAAAAAAAAGAAUUAUGUCAUAAAAUUUCUCGGGGUAGUUUGUUACAGCGUAAAAUAUGUCACUUCCUGUUGCCAGUAGGUGGCGCUAUGACUAUAACUGAAUAUGGGCAUAUCAAUCUGUUCAGGUCAGGAGUCUUAUCAAACAUGUGAAGUUUGGGGCAGAUUGGACAUUGUAUGUCUGAG